AGAGUCAACUCGAACGCUUAUAGCUGAUCUGAACUGAACUGCACGAGGCAUUGUAAAAUGUGCACACAAGAUUUUUGUAUUUCUUGAAAUGACAUAUUAUCUUCUAUUAUUAUUGUCAUAAAUGAUAUAGUUAUUGUUGUCAUAAAUUGUUGUCAUAAAUAGUAUAAUUAUUGAAUAUACUUAUAUAAAUAGUGUUGCAUUGAUUUUUAACAGGCUGAUAAUUUUAUACAAGCUAAAGACGACCAUUUUUUAAAUAUAAUUUUACUUUAGUGCUCUACCAACAAUCAUAAAUUUACUUUAUCUACAAUAAAAUAUGGUUUUAACUUAAAGUAAACUUUUGUCAUUUAAACUUUACUAUGUUGAUCAUUACCUAAUAGUGUAAAAAAAAAAAUUAGUACGUCGCAAUCAAGGUUAGAAUAAUUUUUUUUUCUAUUCUGUUGCUGUUUGUUUUCUGCAAACAUUAAAUACUUUUUAGUUUUCAGGUUUUUUAGUUUUUCUAUACAUUGCAAAUUAGUUUCUAUGUUAUUGUUAAUAAAUUUCUUUAUUCUAUUUAGAAACAUUAGAAAAAUCAAAUGUUAAGCAAA